GACGAACGCUGGCGGCGUGCCUAAUACAUGCAAGUAGGACGCACAGUCUAUACCGUAGCUUGCUACACCAUAGACUGUGAGUUGCGAACGGGUGAGUAACGCGUAGGUAACCUGCCUAUUAGAGGGGGAUAACUAUUGGAAACGAUAGCUGAUACCGCAUAACAGUAUGUAACACAUGUUAGAUGCUUGAAAGAUGCAAUUGCAUCGCUAGUAGAUGGACCUGCGUUGUAUUAGCUAGUAGGUAGGGUAAUGGCCUACCUAGGCGACGAUACAUAGCCGACCUGAGAGGGUGAUCGGCCACACUGGGACUGAGACACGGCCCAGACUCCUACGGGAGGCAGCAGUAGGGAAUCUUCGGCAAUGGGGGGAACCCUGACCGAGCAACGCCGCGUGAGUGAAGAAGGUUUUCGGAUCGUAAAGCUCUGUUGUUAAGGAAGAACGAGUGUGAGAAUGGAAAGUUCAU
rnacentral:rRNA from 1 species